AGUGAACGCUGGCGGCGUGCUUAACACAUGCAAGUCGAACGAGAACGGGUUAUAGCUUGCUAUAAUUGUCAGCUAAGUGGCGCACGGGUGAGUAAUGUAUAGGUAAUAUGCCUCUUACUAAGGGAUAACAAAUGGAAACGUUUGCUAAUACCUUAUACUCCUUAUUAACAUAAGUUAAUAAGGGAAAGAUUUAUUGGUAAGAGAUUAGCCUGUAUUGUAUCAGUUAGUUGGUGGGGUAAUGGGUUACCAAGACUAUGACACAUAACUGGUUUGAGAGGAUGAUCAGUCACACUGGAACUGAGACACGGUCCAGACUCCUACGGGAGGCAGCAGUGGGGAAGAUUGCACAAUGGACGAAAGUCUGAUGCAGCAACGCCGCGUGGAGGAUGACACAUUUCGGUGCGUAAACUCCUUUUAUAUGAGAAGAUAAUGACGGUAUUAUAUGAAUAAGCACCGGCUAACUCCGUGCCAGCCGCCGCCGUAA
rnacentral:rRNA from 1 species